AUUGAACGCUGGCGGCAUGCCUUACACAUGCAAGUCGAACGGUAACAGGUCUUCGGAUGCUGACGAGUGGCGAACGGGGGAGUAAUACAUCGGAACGUGCCCGAUCGUGGGGGAUAACGAGGCGAAAGCUUUUCUAAUACCGCAUACGAUCUACGGAUGAAAGCGGGGGAUCUUCGGACCUCGCGCGGACGGAGCGGCCGAUGGCAGAUUAGGUAGUUGGUGGGAUAAAAGCUUACCAAGCCGACGAUCUGUAGCUGGUCUGAGAGGAUGAUCAGCCACACUGGGACUGAGACACGGCCCAGACUCCUACGGGAGGCAGCAGUGGGGAAUUUUGGACAAUGGGCGAAAGCCUGAUCCAGCCAUGCCGCGUGCAGGAUGAAGGCCUUCGGGUUGUAAACUGCUUUUGUACGGAACGAAAAGCCUCUUUCUAAUAAAGAGGGGUCAUGACGGUACCGUAAGAAUAAGCACCGGCUAACUACGUG
rnacentral:rRNA from 1 species